UUGUAGGCUGAAACUCGCCUACAUGAAGCUGGAGUUACUAGUAAUCGCAGAUCAGAAUGCUGCGGUGAAUGCGUUCCCGGGUCUUGUACACACCGCCCGUCACACCACGGAAGUUGGGGGGCGCCCGAAGCCACUUAGCUAACCCAUUUGGGAAGCGAGUGUCGAAGGUGAAAUCAAUAACUGGGGUGAAGUCGUAACAAGGUACC
rnacentral:rRNA from 1 species